AGUGAACGCUGGCGGUAGGCCUAACACAUGCAAGUCGAACGGCAGCACAGUAAGAGCUUGCUCUUACGGGUGGCGAGUGGCGGACGGGUGAGGAAUACAUCGGAAUCUACUUUUUCGUGGGGGAUAACGUAGGGAAACUUACGCUAAUACCGCAUACGACCUACGGGUGAAAGCAGGGGAUCUUCGGACCUUGCGCGAUUGAAUGAGCCGAUGUCGGAUUAGCUAGUUGGCGGGGUAAAGGCCCACCAAGGCGACGAUCCGUAGCUGGUCUGAGAGGAUGAUCAGCCACACUGGAACUGAGACACCGUCCAUACUCCUACGGGAGGCAGCAGUGUGGAAUAUUGGACAAUGGGCGCAAGCCUGAUCCAGCCAUACCGCGUCGGUGAAGAAGGCCUUCGGGUUGUAAAGCCCUUUUGUUGGGAAAGAAAAGCAGCAGGUUAAUACCCCGCUGUUCUGACGGUACCCAAAGAAUAAGCACCGGCUAACUUCGUG
rnacentral:rRNA from 1 species